GAUGAACGCUGGCGGCGUGCCUAAUACAUGCAAGUCGAGCGAACAGACGAGGAGCUUGCUCCUCUGACGUUAGCGGCGGACGGGUGAGUAACACGUGGAUAACCUACCUAUAAGACUGGGAUAACUUCGGGAAACCGGAGCUAAUACCGGAUAAUAUGUUGAAUCGCAUGGUUCAACAGUGAAAGACGGUCUUGCUGUCACUUAUAGAUGGAUCCGCGCCGCAUUAGCUAGUUGGUAAGGUAACGGCUUACCAAGGCAACGAUGCGUAGCCGACCUGAGAGGGUGAUCGGCCACACUGGAACUGAGACACGGUCCAGACUCCUACGGGAGGCAGCAGUAGGGAAUCUUCCGCAAUGGGCGAAAGCCUGUCGGAGCAACGCCGCGUGAGUGAAGAAGGUCUUCGGAUCGUAAAACUCUGUUAUUAGGGAAGAACAAAUGUGUAAGUAACUAUGCACGUCUUGACGGUACCUAAUCAGAAAGCCACGGCUAACUACGUG
rnacentral:rRNA from 1 species